rnacentral:rRNA from 1 species
GACGAACGCUGGCGGCGUGCUUAACACAUGCAAGUCGAACGGAAAGGCCCCCUUGUGGGGUACUCGAGUGGCGAACGGGUGAGUAACACGUGAGUAACCUACCCUUGACUUUGGGAUAACUUCAGGAAACUGGGGCUAAUACCGGAUAGGAGCUCCUGCUGCAUGGUGGGGGUUGGAAAGUUUCGGCGGUUGGGGAUGGACUCGCGGCUUAUCAGCUUGUUGGUGGGGUAGUGGCUCACCAAGGCUUUGACGGGUAGCCGGCCUGAGAGGGUGACCGGCCACAUUGGGAUUGGGAUACGGCCCGGACUCCAACGGGGGGAAGCGGUGGGAAAUAUUGCACAAUGGGCGGAAGCCGGGUGCAGCAACGCCGCGUGGGGGAUGACGGCCUUCGGGUUGUAAACCGCUUUCGCCUGUGACGAAGCGUGGGUGAGGGAAAUGGGUAAAGAAGCCCCGGCUAAUUACGU